rnacentral:lncRNA from 1 species
AAAUGGAAACUACAUCGGUCGCUCGCCUCUCACAUACACCAAAGUAACAUGCGCCUAUUUUAAUCUGAUUAAUGCUUUUGAGAUUUCCUUCUAAUUGACUUGGACGUUGCAGAGGUGCGUUUGUAGGUCUACGCUACACAUUUUCUCCGGAGUGUUUUUUCACGCACGGGAAUAUUACAGCGUUUCGGUUAAUUUUGCUCAGUUUAUUGAAACGAUCAAAACUGAACACCGUGCCUCAUCACCGACCAUUCAAAAGCCAGUGAACAACACAGCCGAAAGCAAUCCAGCAGAAGUAAAUUAUAUCGAACCAAUGCAAAGUGGAUUUUACCCCAAGACCAAGGUAUAAUCGGCGGUCUGGCUGGCAGACUACCAUUGCAUUGUGUCGGAGCUCUCUGCAGGACUCUGAAGACUGGAGAAUGCUGAGUGCUGACAUCAACACCUAAUGCAUGACGGGAGGAGGAACAUCAUGCAAACGUCCCACAAUGCAGGGAAGGUAAGCCUUAAUGUAUGUGUUUGAGUUACUGGAGCAACUAACCUGUAAUAGAUUCUCUUACAGGCAACAGGAUCAAAGGGUCAGCUGAUAACAAACUGCUUGAAUCGUCUACGUAUGUAUAGUAAUUCUGCACCGUUUGCUGUAAUGUGUGAUUAUACAUGAUAAUGGCAAUAGCUUUAAGAUGACAAGACUAGAAAUGUUGAAUUUAAAAACAAAAAUGCUGUACAGUAACUUUUCUGCCAAAAGUAAAUAAACUGCUCCUCAAUGCACGUUGUUUGUUAUUAUUAAAUAUGAAUCUCAUAUUAACUAUGCUACAGAUUAAGAGGGUUUUUAAAGAUGGGGUGAGAUUGCUAAAAUGUUUUAGCUUUUGUUAUUAAUUACUAUACUAUACUAUAUAAUUAUCUAAUAUUAAUUACUAAUUUUAUACAGUUAAAGUCAGAAUUAUUAGCCCUUCUGGAUUUUUAGCCCCCUGUAUUCCCCCCCCCAAUUUCUGUUUAAUGGAAAUAAGAUUUUUUUAAUCCCAUUUCUAAACAUAAUAGUUUUUACAAUUAAUUACAAAUAACUGAUUUCUUUUAGAUUUGCCAUGAUGACAGCAUAUAAUAUUUUACUAGAUAUUUUAAAAGUGCCAUUUAAAGGCUUAACUAGGAUAAUUAGGUUAACUAGGCAAGUUAGGGUAAUUAGGCAAGUCAUUGUAUAUCGAUGGUUUGUUCUGUAGUAUCGAAAAAAAACAAAAAACUUUUGACCCUAAAAUGAUGUUAAAAAAACGUAAAAUUGCUUUUAUUUUAGCCGAAAUAAAACAAAUUAGUCUUUCUUGAGUAGAAAAAAAACAUUAUAGGAAAUACUUGAACAAUUCUUUGCUUUGUUAAACAUCAUUUGGAAAAUAUUUGAAAAAGGAAAAAUAAAUCAUAGGAGAGGUGAUAAUUAAGACAUUACCAUAUGGUUGUAUAAACAACCCUGUUAUUUUGACCAUAUUUUCAUUUUGAAGUUAUUCUGAUAUACUUACAAAACUUUUAUGAUUAACUUAUUUCUUGAUAUAUAUUAAGCUACAAGGGAUUUAUCCUCAUCCCCCUCACUCAUACCAUUCUUAUGAAGUCUACAUUCCACAAUAAAAAUAUUAUGCUUAAGUGAAUAAUGUCACAUUGGUUGUAGUAAAACUCUAAAUCUUCAAUUUAUAUGGAGCUGUAACUGACAAUUUUAUUGCAUAAAAAUGACCAAGUUUCCAUUUCUUAGCUGUUAUAAACAAUUAGAGAUGGAUAUUAUUUUCCACACACACACUUUUCAGCAUUAUACCGUUCUGGAUUUAAUCACUGGCCACUAGAAUAAACUCUAGUUAUUAAGGAAUAUAAAUGUUUUCAAAAGUAAUCAAAGAGCCAAAGAGGAAGAGAUGGGAACGACAGAAGAGAAAGAGAGAGAGAGAGAGCGAGCGAGCGAGAGAGAAAACAGAGAGACAGAGAAACAGAAAUUCAGAGGGUAUAGUUGAGGUCUGUAAUUGAAAGCAGCUUGUUUUCUAAUGUGUACUUCUGAGACUGAGAAGGUUUUAAGUUUGCUUUCGCGCAUAUACCUCACAUGUCUCUGAAUAUAUUACUAGAACUUGUGUUUACAUGAAAGGAGGAUAAAGCGUGUUAAAAAAAUAUUUAAAAAAAGAAAUGUCUGCAUGUGAACUAGAAGUGUAACUAGAUUCUGUUUAGGCAUCCCUUUAUAUUGUUUACCAAUGCAGAUCCUAACGUUUGAAUUAUUCGACUUUUGAAAUAAGUAAUAUUUGCAAAGUUUGCUUAUUUAAACAAACGACUCAAAUAACAAUUCUACUUAAUUUUUAAACUCACAGGUAAGAAAAAUAAAUGAUUAGCAUGAAUAAUGUUAUGGCCAGUUGUCAAGCCACAUCAUGCAUAUAAUAUAGUCUAUUAAGGGUAUAGAUACAACAGAGACAAUAAUAUGUAUUUAUAUUUUUCAUAUGGCCAUGAAUUGAAAUUUUGAAUUUGGCCAUUAAACAUUAGCUUUUAUAGGCAAAAUUUAAUUAUAGAGAUAAAGUCCCAAAAUAAUAGACAGUAAAUUUGAAUCCUCCUGUCACUUAAAUACAGAUUUACAGUAUCUUAGAUACAUGCUUUACAUGAAGAAAAAAUAUAUUGUUUUUAACACUGUAAGACAAAAACUGCUUCUUAAUAUAUACAAUUUGAAUCUAUAAAACAUAAAUAAAAUAAAAAAACUAAAAAAGCUUGUUUAUCCCCCCAAAACAUAAAACAUAAUACUUGUUAAUCGUCACUAUAAUAUAUGCUAUAAUUUUAGUUCAAUACUAAACUAAAAUAAACGUAAUGUUUCAAAUUAAAUUUGAAAAUUCGCAAAAUGUAGAGAAAAUUGUUUAAAACAAUCAAAUUGCCAAAAUAAAAUUCUAAUUAAAUUUUAAAAUGUACUAAAACUAUUAAGAAAAAGUGAUUGAUAUAUAUAUAUAUAUAUAUAUAUAUAUAUAUAUAUAUAUAUAUAUAUAUAUAUAUAUAGUUGGAGUCAGGAUUAUUAGCCCCCCUGUUUAUUUCUUUUCCCAAUUUCUGUUUAACGGGGAGAACAUUUCUAAACAUAAUAGUUUUCAUAACUCAUUUCUAAUAACUGAUUUGGUUUAUCUUUGCCAUGAUGACAGUAAAUAAUAUUUUACUUGAUAUUUUUCAAGACACUUCUAUUAAGCUUAAAGUGACAUUUAAAGGCAUAACUAGCUCAAUUAGGUUAACUAGGCAGGUUAGGGUAAUUAGGCAAGUUAUUGUAUAACAGUGUUUUUUUUUUUCAUGAAGACUAUUGAGAAAAAAAUAGAGAGUAAUAAUUUUGACCUUAAAAUGGCUUUAAAAAAAUAAAACUACUUUUAUUUAAGCUGAAAAAAAAAAGACUUUCUCCAGAAGAAAAAAAUAUUAUCAGACAUACUGUGAACAUUUCCUUGCUCUGUUAAACAUAAAUUUGGGAAAUAUUUAAAAAUGAAAAAAAAAAAAAAAAAAAAAAUCAAAAGGGGGCUAAUAAUUCAACUAUAUAGCUAUUUCAUAUAUAUAGCUUAUUAAUAAACAUAAAAGAUCAAAAUAGAUCUAUGGGGGGGUGUACUCAUAUAUACCCACAUACAACCCUCACAGAUCUAUCUUUAUCUUUUAUCUUUAUUAGUAAGCUCUACGAUAUUAAAUUUGUGCAUAUACAUAGAUUAGUCAGUACUGAAGCCAAAUCUGGAGCUUAUCUAACAAAAUAACUUAAGACAGAGGUCCAAAAACUAGUACACCCAAAUCUAUAUGUAAUAGAAAAAUAUUAAAUACACAUUUUAAAAAGAGGAAAAAUCAAGAAGCAAAAAAAUAGAAAAUUUUAGUUGAAAUUUUGUAGGUUGUAAUAUUUUUGUUUGCAAUAUUCUGCUUAAAUUGUAAUAUCUUUCAAAUUCUAAAUAUGUUUGGUGACUAAUAUAUUAUUUUAAUAAAUAUCUCUGUUUAAUAAAUCUGUAUAUAGAUUACACUAUAUAUACAUGCAUACUACAACUCUCAACAAAAAAGGGAAGAGAGACAGUGCAUCAAGUGAGUUUGAAAAUUGAACUAAACCGCACACACACACACACACACGCUGGCAGUGGUAAGGCAGAGAACUCUCAGCGCAAGAUUUAAUGAGUGCUGAGUUGUUGUGGUAUUUGCAACACGGCCAAAAAAGCUCAGCUAUGUUCAGGAAGCAUGUGAAGUGUCUGCAGUGAAAAAACGUUGUCAAACAAGAUUUGGGAUCAAUUACCCAGACAGAGAGUGUAAUGUUUAUGCGAGCCCCCUGAAAGACGCGGUGUCCGGGUAAACUUCAGCUGCAGGCCCUGAAGUGCUCAUGUAACUGGCUCUUGAGGUUUUCUCUAAGGACAUUUGUUUUGUCACCUCCAUUAAGGGCUGUUUGGUCCCAACAACAUAGCCCUAGUCAGCUUCCUCCUGCCCUGAAGAAAUAAGUGUGAAACACAGGAUGUUAGUUCAUGUUUUGAUGAUAUAAUUUGUUCACAGAAUAUCUUGUUUUGUGUUCAACAGAAGAAAGAUAUUCCUAGAAGUUUGCAAGCACCUGGGUACAUGUAAAUGAUAAGGAUUUGUGAACUAUGCAGUAAAAAAUCCAUUUUCCUAUGAACAAAAUAAACAGAGAUUUAUGUAUGGAACCCACUGUCACACUUCAUAAAAUGUCAGUAUGCAUGGUUUCAGACUGUGUUUUAAUGGUUGCAUAUUAUAAGCUUAUUUUUCUGUCUGUAUGAUUAAAUUCUGUUAUACGUCACACACAGGUUUCCCUACUGACCAUGUUAUUUUAUAACAAAACUUGACCAAAUGCAUCAAUAGUGGAAUGAAUCAGUGCUACUAGUUCAUCAGCUCUGUUGGAGCUCAAACAAAGGUAUUUAUAUGACCACUAAACAGUUGUCGGCUACAGGUCCGCUACAGUGUUCUCUGAUUUAAACCACAAAAUUAACUAGUUUAAAGUCAAAUAGAAAACUUCUGUCAAUGAUGAGGAAAACAACUGAAACUCUGUGCAACAACGAUCAGGUUAGAUGGUUUUUCAUUUCACAAAUCACCAAUUAUCAUGUUUUAACCUAUUAACACUAAUGAAAGUCACUGAUAAAUGAGUGAUGCUUAUAUUGAAUUGUAUUAUGUUAUUAAUGUAUUACAUCUAAUAAAGUAGCAACUUAAAUGA